rnacentral:rRNA from 1 species
GAUGAACGCUGGCGGCGUGCCUAAUACAUGCCAGUCGAGCGAACAGAUAAGGAGCUUGCUCCUUUGACGUUAGCGGCGGACGGGUGAGUAACACGUGGGUAACCUACCUAUAAGACUGGAAUAACUCCGGGAAACCGGGGCUAAUGCCGGAUAACAUUUAGAACCGCAUGGUUCUAAAGUGAAAGAUGGUUUUGCUAUCACUUAUAGAUGGACCCGCGCCGUAUUAGCUAGUUGGUAAGGUAACGGCUUACCAAGGCAACGAUACGUAGCCGACCUGAGAGGGGGAUCGGCCACCUUGAAACUGGGCAACGGUCCAGACACCUACGGGAGCAGGAGGUGGGGAAUCUUCGGCAAUGGGCGAAGGCCUACGGGACAAACGCGGGGGAAGUAAUAAGGGCCUUCGAUUCGUAAAACUCUGUAAUAAGGGAAAACCAAAUGUGAAGGUAACUGUGCCAGUCUGAACGGAACUAAACAAAAAAGCAACGGCUAACUACGU